CAUAACAUUUUUAUAGCUAAAAUAAUCAUUAAUGUUGCAUUUAUAAAUGUUAAAAUAAGGUCUUGUGAUACAAAACUACCA